rnacentral:rRNA from 1 species
CCGGAGCUUGCUCCACCGGAAAAAGAGGAGUGGCGAACGGGUGAGUAACACGUGGGUAACCUGCCCAUCAGAAGGGGAUAACACUUGGAAACAGGUGCUAAUACCGUAUAACAAUCGAAACCGCAUGGUUUUGAUUUGAAAGGCGCUUUCGGGUGUCGCUGAUGGAUGGACCCGCGGUGCAUUAGCUAGUUGGUGAGGUAACGGCUCACCAAGGCGACGAUGCAUAGCCGACCUGAGAGGGUGAUCGGCCACAUUGGGACUGAGACACGGCCCAAACUCCUACGGGAGGCAGCAGUAGGGAAUCUUCGGCAAUGGACGAAAGUCUGACCGAGCAACGCCGCGUGAGUGAAGAAGGUUUUCGGAUCGUAAAACUCUGUUGUUAGAGAAGAACAAGGAUGAGAGUAACUGUUCAUCCCUUGACGGUAUCUAACCAGAAAGCCACGGCUAACUACGUGCCAGCAGCCGCGGUAAUACGUAGGUGGCAAGCGUUGUCCGGAUUUAUUGGGCGUAAAGCGAGCGCAGGCGGUUUCUUAAGUCUGAUGUGAAAGCCCCCGGCUCAACCGGGGAGGGUCAUUGGAAACUGGGAGACUUGAGUGCAGAAGAGGAGAGUGGAAUUCCAUGUGUAGCGGUGAAAUGCGUAGAUAUAUGGAGGAACACCAGUGGCGAAGGCGGCUCUCUGGUCUGUAACUGACGCUGAGGCUCGAAAGCGUGGGGAGCAAACAGGAUUAGAUACCCUGGUAGUCCACGCCG